rnacentral:lncRNA from 1 species
GUUCCUUCCAUAUUUUAUUCUCCCCCCACCUCUCAGGUGGCCAAAAUCCUAAAUUAUUUUUAAAAAAUCAUUUAGUUUUAUUUUUUAAACAUUAUAAAAAGAGAAUCAUAUUAUACGUUGUAUUAGUCAGUGUUCUCAAGAGAAGCAGAACCAAUAGGAUAUCUAUCCAUCUGCCUUUUUUUUUUUUUUUUGAGAUGGAGUCUCACUCUGUCACCCAGGCUGAAGUGCAAUGGCGCAAUCUUGGCUCACUGCAACGUCCACCUCCCGGGCUCAAGAGAUUCUCCUGCCUUAGCCUCCUGGGUAGCUGGGAUUAGGGUUUCCAUCUGCCUAUCCAUCUAUCUAUCUAUCUGGGAGAUUUCAGUAAAGAAUUGACUCACAGGCCGGGCACAGUGGCUCAUGCCUGUAAUCCCAGCACUUUGGGAGGCUGAAUGAGUGGAUCACCUGAGGUCAGGAGUUCGAGACCAGCCUGACCAACAUAGUGAAACCCCAUCUCUACCAAAAAUA